rfam:Stegodyphus mimosarum contig51601, whole genome shotgun sequence.
GCCUUCAUGGUGUAGCGGUUAGCACGCUCGACCCGUAACCGAGAGGUCCGUGGUUCGAUUCCCGGCGAGAGCA